GACGAACGCUGGCGGCGUGCCUAACACAUGCAAGUCGAACGGAGUGUUUAUUUAUAAACACUUAGUGGCGAACGGGUGAGUAACGCGUAGACAACCUACCCUCUAGAUGGGGACAACACCGCGAAAGUGGUGCUAAUACCGAAUGUUGUAAUGUUGUUGCAUAAUGAUAUUACUAAAGGUGGCCUCUAUAUAAAAGCUACCGCUAGAGGAUGGGUCUGCGUCUGAUUAGCUAGUUGGUGAGAUAACAGCUCACCAAGGCAAUGAUCAGUAGCCGGUCUGAGAGGAUGGACGGCCACACUGGGACUGAGACACGGCCCAGACUCCUACGGGAGGUAGCAGUGGGGAAUCUUCCGCAAUGGACGAAAGUCUGACGGAGCAACGCCGCGUGAGUGAAGAAGGUUUUCGGAUCGUAAAGCUCUGUCUUCAAGGACGAAUGUAGAUAUUGUGAAUAAUGAUAUUUAAUGACGGUACUUGAGGAGGAAGCCACGGCUAACUACGUGCCAGCGGCCGCCGUAA
rnacentral:rRNA from 1 species